GCGGAAUUCGUGGUGUAGCGGUGAAAUGCUUAGAUAUCACGAAGAACUCCGAUUGCGAAGGCAGCACACUAAGCCGUAACUGACGUUCAUGCUCGAAAGUGUGGGUAUCAAACAGGAUUAGAUACCCUGGUAGUCCACACGGUAAACGAUGAAUACUCGCUGUUUGCGAUAUACAGCAAGCGGCCAAGCGAAAGCGUUAAGUAUUCCACCUGGGGAGUACGCCGGCAACGGUGAAACUCAAAGGAAUUGACGGGGGCCCGCACAAGCGGAGGAACAUGUGGUUUAAUUCGAUGAUACGCGAGGAACCUUACCCGGGCUUGAAUUGCAACUGAAUGAUGUGGAGACAUGUCAGCCGCAAGGCAGUUGUGAAGGUGCUGCAUGGUUGUCGUCAGCUCGUGCCGUGAGGUGUCGGCUUAAGUGCCAUAACGAGCGCAACCCUUGUUGUCAGUUACUAACAGGUUCCGCUGAGGACUCUGACAAGACUGCCAUCGUAAGAUGUGAGGAAGGUGGGGAUGACGUCAAAUCAGCACGGCCCUUACGUCCGGGGCUACACACGUGUUACAAUGGGGGGUACAGAAGGCAGCUACCUGGCGACAGGAUGCUAAUCCCAAAAACCUCUCUCAGUUCGGAUCGAAGUCUGCAACCCGACUUCGUGAAGCUGGAUUCGCUAGUAAUCGCGCAUCAGCCAUGGCGCGGUGAAUACGUUCCCGGGCCUUGUACACACCGCCCGUCAAGCCAUGGGAGCCGGGGGUACCUGAAGUGCGUAACCGCGAGGAGCGCCCUAGGGUAAAACUGGUGAUUGGGGCUAAGUCGUAACAAGGUAGCCGUACCGGAAGGUGCGGCUG
rnacentral:rRNA from 1 species